rnacentral:lncRNA from 1 species
CCCAAAGUGCUGGGAUUACCGGCGUGAGCCACCGUGCCCAGCCCCACUUGAACUUUAAUCCUUGCCUCGGAAUUGGCUUCUGGGGAAACCAAAAAUAUAUUAAAAAAAGAGAGACCAGGACCUUAAAAAGAGCCCAAGUUGUUGAGCUCCCUGCCAAGUCACCCCCAGGUAUCUCUGCCCACCAGCUUGCAUGAGCCAGAUCCUCAGUGCAGGUUUUUCCAAUCAGUCAUUUGUUCUUCCACCCAACGCUCAAGAUUUGCUUCUUCAAGACAACUCUCUGAUCAGCUGAGACCCAUAGACACCCAGCUUCUACCACACAUAUGAUGGCAUUAUCCUAGGGCAUGGCAGAGCAACGCAAGGGAAAACUCUGGGCCCCCAAGUGAUGUCAUGGAGGAGAACUCUCAACCCAGAACUACUACGUGAGAAACAACGCUCUCUCUUCUUUAAGCCAUAGGUGUGUUGGGAAUCUUUGUUACAGCAGCACGCCUGAUCUUUUGUUUUGUUUUGUUUUGUUUUAGAGAUGGAGUCUUGCUCUUUCGCCAGGCUGGAGUGCAGUGGUGCGAUCUUGGCUCACCAUGUUGGUCAGGCUGGUUUCAAAUCCCUGACCUCAAGUGAUCCUCCCACCUUGGCCUCCCAAAGUGCUGGGAUUACAGGUGUGAGCCACCGCACCCGGCCCAGCCAUGCCUUGUCUUAACUAGCAUAGCCGCCCAACGUCCACUUCUUUUGGCCAUGUUGUCCUGAUUCUGCUGGAGAAUCCCUUUCCCACUGCUCCCAGACCAGUGGUGUAGCUGACCUGCGCUCUCUCCACUCAAUUCAGGGGAGGGAGGGGUUUAGGCCUGGGCUAAGAGAGCUGCACAUUUCCCAGGGCACAGUGAUUAGUUGAGGGUGGGUCCCAGAGCCAAAUCUGCCCAAGAUCUUAGCCUGAAAGAGAAACCCUCCUGCUGAGUGACUGCACUGUGAGGCAGAAGUCCAGAGCUGUGGGUGGCCAUCCAGCCUCCAUUUGCGCCUGCCUGAGAAAGAAGCCACCAUGGGGGAAAUCGAGCUAAAAGACGGAGAGGGAGGUAAGAGAGGAUGACAUCACAUAAGCACCAGAUCUGGCCACCCCUGAAACUGGAACAACCCUAAGCUUUACAGCUACUACAUUCCCUUUUCUGCUGAAGUUGUUUUACACUGGGUUUCUGUCUCUUGCAACCAAGAGCUCUGUUAAAUAAAAACCUGACCCUAAGGAGAACGUUAGCUGGUUCACAAUUCCCUGUGCAAAACAGGCACAGGUCAGCUGCCCCAGCCUGUCGUUUGGAUAUUCCUUUCUAAGAACGCUCACUUUUGUUGUCUACAUGACCCAGAUAACCAAGGAGAAAGCAAAUCAACCGCCUUCCAGCGGCGCCUUCCUUGGCAGCAAGUGCUAAGAGAGAACACAAUGUGAGUACUCUGCCCUCUGGAGUCAGGGUUGAUCCUCAGCACUUGCUGUCCUGGGAGGCUGCACCUGUGACACUUGAGUGCCAGGUUCAACCCCUACUGCUGCUGCUGCUGCCUGAAUGGGGCCAUUUAGACUGUUGAGUGCUACAGCCUCAGCCCAGGAACCCGGAGCUUCACAUGAGGCAGAGCAGGGCCCCAGGGUCCCUGAAACUUGCCAGUUCAAACAGCAGAGGGGUGAGGACUCCCCAGUCAGCCCUGGUCUCAUACCUGCCUCUGCAUGGUCCCAGUCCAGCCUGAGGCCUUUGCUUUCUUUUUUGAAGGGAAGGUGAGGAGAGAGGGGGAAAAUAGAGGUGUUCUGACUAGACUUAGGAUUCCUGGCCUCUGCCUCUGACCGCCAGAGGACAGCCUCUGCAGUUGCCUCAUCUACUCAUGAAAACAGGCCUGUGACCCCAGGGGUGCUCUGAGGAUUCUUCCAGAAAACAUCUGCCCAGCUAGGACUACCUAGCUCACUGCCCAAAAAGGGUUCAUUUCCUUUCCUUCUGAAACAAAAGCGCUUAAUUGGAAGAGAAGCAUUGACUCAAGCUAUAGGAUAUGCCACUUAAAAUGUCCAGAUCUUGGCACAAGGCCUGGCGCACAGUGUGGGAGAGAAGGAGAGAAGAAGGUGGAAGGAAAGGAGGGAGGGGAAAGAGGAAGCAGGGAGGGAGAAAAUAAGACAAGGGCCUCCUCAUCUGGAUGCUUCCCUAGACCAAGAAGUGGCCCAGGUGGUGCCCAGGGGACAGGGAGUGGGCAAUAAAAGACAAUGGGGUGUAGGUGAUAGGGUGUAGAUGAUCAGGGUAUAGGUGAUCAGGAUGUAGGUGAUGGGGUGUAGAUGACUGGGGUAUAGAUGAUUGAAGUGUAGGUGAUGGGGUAUAGAUGAUCGAGGUGUAGGUGAUGGGGUAUAGAUGAUUGAGGUGUAGGUGAUGGGGUGUAGGUGAUGGGGGUCAAGGUGAUCAAGGUGUAGGUGAUGGGGUAUAGAUGAUUGAGGUGUAGGUGGUGGGGUGUAGAUGAUUGGGGUGUAGGUGAUGGGGUGUAGGUGACGGGUAUAGGUGAUGGGGUAUAGAUGAUCAGGGUGUAGGUGAUUGGGGUAUAGGUGAGCAGGGUGUAAGUGAAGGGGUAUAGGUGGUGGGGUAUAGAUGAUCAGGUGUAGGUGACUGGGGUUUGGGUGAUGGGGUGUAGGUGAUGGGGUAUAGAUGAUUGAGGUAUCGGUGAUGGGGGUCAAGGUGAUCAAGGUGUAGGUGAUGGGGUGUUGGUGAUUGGGGUGUAGGUGAUCAGGGUGUAAGUGAUGAGGUAUAGGUGAUGCAGUGUAGGUGAUCAGGGUAUAGGUGAUGAGGUGUAGGUGAUGGAGUGUAGAUGAUUGAGGUGUAGGUGAUGGGGUAUAGGUGAUUGGGGUGUAGGCAAUGGGGUGUAGGUGAUCGGGGUCAAGGUGAUAGAGGUGUAGGUGAUGGGGUGUUGGUGAUUGGGGUGUAGGUGAUCAGGGUGUAGGUGAUGGGAUGUAGGUGAUCAGGGUCAAGGUGAUUGAGGUGUAGGUGAUGGGAUGUUGGCAACCAGGGUGUAGGUGAUCAGGAUGUAGGUGAUGGGGUGUAGACGAUCAGGGUGUAGGUGAUGGGCUGUUGCUGACCAGGGUGUAGGUGAUCAGGGUGUAGGUGAUCCGAACUUCCUACUCAAUUCAGGCAACAGCUCCCAGCCUGAGGCAAAUACCCCCCGAGGCAGUCAGGGUCUCACCUCCCAUGGCUCUGACGCAGGCCUCCAAGGUGAGGAGAUGGAGGUAGCAGAGGUCACUUCACUCAGCUGUCACACACCCUGAGGGAACUCCUGUCACUGUUAUCCCACCUGCAAGUGAGGAGCCAGCAUUUCUCAUGCUCCAGGGUUGGCCACAGAGCCCAUUCAAGGGAGGGAGAAGAGCCUUCGGCCAGCGCAUCCUAACCGCAGAAAGCCAAGACCUCUGCAGAAAAAGAGACCAGGCCCAUAAAAAGAGAUCCAUGAGUUGAGUUCCCUGCCAUGCCACCCCCAGGCAUCUCUGCCCACCAGCCUGCAUGAGCCAGCCCCUCAGUGCAGGUUUUUCCAAUUGGCCGUUUGUUCUUCCACCCAACACUCAAGAUUUGCUUCUCAGCCUGGACAACAUAGCAAAACCCCAUCUCUACAAAAAAUACAAAAAUUAGCUGGGCAUAGUGGCACACACCUAUAGUCCCAGCUACUCGGGAGGCUGAAGUGGGAAGAUUACCUGAGCCUGGGAGGUCAAGGUUGCAGUGAGCCAUGAUCAUGCCACUGUACUCCAGCCUGGGUGACAGAGUGAGAACUUGUCUCAAAAACAAAAAAAGAGAGGAAGAUCUGCUUCUUCAAACCCACACAACUAAUAUAAAGUAAUCAACCUCCCCACCUCAAUAACCUGAAGUUAAACAUCACACAAUAAGCCCUGAACAGAGAGCUGUAGGUCAAUGUUCCAUUUUGCUUUUAAAAGCUUCACAAGAACAUUUCAUUUAUUAAAAUAGUUUCUGUAAACUCUUUCAGAAUAACAAAAUUCACUUGCCUUGCUUAAACAGCAUUUCAAGUAGAAGUAUUUUUAUUUCAAGGCACCAUAAAAUGAUGAUCUCUCUAAGAAAUACCUCUCCUUC